AGCGGGGGCCUCCCCUUCUGCCACUGCGGAGGGACUAGAGCCAGGGCCUUGUGGGCAGAUUCCCCUUUACCGUUUGUCAUUGUACAAUCAGCCACUGGGUGCUGCUGCACAGUUGGACGUUUCCAGGGCUUUGCUGUUAUAAAUGCUACUGCUUUACAAAGUUAAUCCUUCUGUCAGACCACAAGGCACUAUAUUUUAUGGAAUGGCUCCAGAAUGGAGACUUCAGCUCAGCUACGCUUCGUGAAGACAGAAACACACCGAAAAUACAGCAUCGCACGCCCAGGGCUGAUAAAAAUCUGUUCUAAGUAAAUCGGGAGCUCCAAUCUCAUGUCAACUCUUAGAUCAUUGAGGAUCUUCACACCGGACUGAUUACCACUGAGGCAGUUGGGAUGGUGGUUAAGAGUGGAGGCUCUGGAGCCAGAUGGCUUUGGGUGAAGAACAGAGGUUCAGUGAGAUAAAUUAAGAAUAGAAGUUGCUAAGCCCAAUAAUGAACUGAAUCAGGUUCUAGGGGUUCAAAGAAUUAAGUCACACAAGAGGAUGUGGGAAGUAUGACAACCAGGAGAGGCAUUGCCAACCAGAAAUCUCCUUCAAUAGAAGAAGUUCUGCUUUCUGUCCACAUAUUAAUGGAACUUUUUCAUAGGAUUUCAUUUCAAGGGAUCUGAUACUAAAACAAAUUUGAAAACCAUUGGAUUGAGUUGCAUCUCAAACAGUCUAAGAUAAUACCCUACCAUUCUUCCAUCUGAACAACUCUAACAGAGGAAGAGCUGUUUUAUCUAUUUACAUUUUACAUGUUUUCAGAGACUUAGAAUCAGAUAGGUUUCCAGGAGACUUAGAGACUAGAUACAAAGCUUGGCUGAGUGCACAGGCAGGAACUGAUCUUGCAGAGCAGCCCCAGGGAUAAAUUCCUUUCUCCUGAAAUCAUCUAGUCACUCCUCAGGUAUUAAAAGAUGCAGGUAGCUAUUCUCCCUGGCACUGCUGACCCUGCUAAUUUGACAGUAGGCGAACAGUGUUGGUGAAUUCCAGGCAGGGUCAAGGGGGAGACUGUCACCUUAGCUCUCCCAUCCUCCCCUCUCCUCUCCUGCACUCCUGCGCCCCCCACCCCCACCCCAUGGCAGCUCUUCCCAUUCUGGCUGGGGAUGAGUCAGAUCUAAUGAUCUCUUAGAUCGGUCAUUUCAAAGUUGCCAUGAUUCCCAGAAAUCUGCCCACUGUCUACAGGAUCACCAAGUGAGAUGAGGAAUUAUCUCACUUCUCAGCUUCUGGUGGCGUGGAGAGCAGUCCAGUUUUUCCCUGGUGACUGCAUAGCUCACAGGAGUCCUAUUUGCAGGAUCUGCUGCCUCGAAACCCAGGGAGCGUGCCGAAUGGGAACUGUGUAUACUGUGUAGGGUAUGUAAAUCAUAGGGUGGAGUGGAGAGAGAGUGCUUUAUUACAAACUUGACUCUAUUCUGAGCUCCGGAGAAGAAAGGAUUUAUAAGGUUCAAAUUGUUAUUAUUAGAGUCACUGAUGUGAAUAAUACUGAUGCUUUCUGGAGACUCUCCCUUAGAACGAAAAGGAGCAGCGUUACAACUGCCUGAGCUCCUCUGUCCAACUGCCUCCUGCCUCACCCCUCACAUUCCAUCCCCCACUCUGCUUGCAGAAGCGGAUAUAUCUCAAAUGUAAAUCUAAUCAUGCCACCCUCAGUCUCAGUGUCUUCAAAGGAUUUCCACUGACUUCUGAAUAAAGUACAAGUCCUUUAGCAGAACAUGCAAAGACUGGUCUUGUUUUGUUCCAUUCAUCUGCACCUUUUGUUCUUGCCAUUCCAUUACCACUCAGCUGAGGGUCAGGACCUGGAGUCUUAGCCUGGCUGCAGAGUAACAGAAGAAUAUAUAUUUUUCUUUUAAGAGUAGUCAUGUGUUCCUCAAAUCUUCCCACAACAAAAUCAAUGAACAUCUUUAUUAAA